CCUGUUCUUUUUGUGUGAGAGCACAGCACUAACAAUUGUGCCUACAACCCACUGGCCUACUACCACCCUCACUACUACUACUACUGCUCCUACUACUACUACAACUACAACUGCAGUGACUACUGCAGAAGUAAAGCUCUCUCCUCUGCUGC